rnacentral:rRNA from 1 species
GAUGAACGCUGGCGGCGUGCCUAAUACAUGCAAGUCGAGCGAACACACGAGGAGCUUGCUCCUCUGACGUUAGCGGCGGACGUGUGAGUAACACGUGGAUAACCUACCUAUAAGACUGGGAUAACUUCGUGAAACCGGAGCUAAUACCGGAUAAUAUAUUGAACCGCAUGGUUCAAUAGUGAAAGACGGUUUUGCUGUCACUUAUAGAUGGAUCCGCGCCGCAUUAGCUAGUUGGUAAGGUAACGGCUUACCAAGGCAACGAUGCGUAGCCGACCUGAGAGGGUGAUCGGCCACACUGGAACUGAGACACGGUCCAGACUCCUACGGGAGGCAGCAGUAGGGAAUCUUCCGCAAUGGGCGAAAGCCUGACGGAGCAACGCCGCGUGAGUGAUGAAGGUCUUCGGAUCGUAAAACUCUGUUAUUAGGGAAGAACAAAUGUGUAAGUAACUAUGCACGUCCUGACGGUACCUAAUCAGAAAGCCACGGCUAACUACGUG